GCUCAGUUUGCCUCUUAGUGUUGGAUUUCCGCUCGGGGAGGUGGCACUGCGGUGGCAAGCCUGCGGCGUCUCUCCUCCCUCACUGAGAUGCCUGGGUUGCCUCAGCUUACCCAGCUGACGGUGUCAGCGCCACUCAAGAUAAGAUCUGAUCGUGAGUGUGAUACAGGUAUACACUGAAAAGAAAGAGGGAAGCCUUAAAAUCAGUCUUGUUAGUUGUCAUUAUGUAACCAGUCGUGCAUGGUCCCCCCCUCUCCUCGCUCCAUCCACGACUGGGAAGCAGUCACCAUGCGGAGCCUGGGCCUAGCAGAACCAUGACCUGGUCCUUCACUGACGUCCUCCAUGGGCGGCCAGGUGAUCUCACCAGGUGUUCACUGGAGUCCAGUCAGGAGAUGACGCUCCGUGCAUCAUCCCCCGCAACAGAACAGACGCCCCUUUCCUUCUGCAGGUGUUCAACCCCUGAGUCUCCAGUUGGAGAUUUUGAAAUUGAAGGAAAAUAGGAUAAGGACCCUAAAGUCAAGUGGGAUCCCUGAAAACUUUGUUUGCUAAAUUAACACUAGUUUUACUAAAUAAAGAAAACGUCAUGUUUUUGUGCCUUACGGUCAUCACCACGGUCUUUGAGGUGAGCCGUCAGGGUGAGUGAACUCAGGCGGAGCCCUGCCGCCCACGCAGGGGGCCAGGCACAGGUGGCUGUGCCUGUGGGCCGGGAGGCUCGGGUCCAGGGAGGCACUACUGCCCCUGGCUCACGGGAGCCCAGCCCACGACUUGCUGCUGCCUCGGGCUUGAGCUUGGCCUUCAGUCGGCGAAGCUUUGUGGCAGGCGGCACACACCCGGGCAUUCUGAUGGGCCUGUCUCCCCUUCCCCCUUUCCUCCACCUGGAGUGGCAGUGCCUUCCAGGCGCACUGCCCACCAUCUCCUAGGCCCUGCUCAGGAACGCAGGGCUUGGCAUCAGACAAACCAAGCCCCACUCUGCCGGAGCCCACAUCCCAGGCCGAAGGUGCAGUGGGUGGCCAUGCGGCCUCCCUCCAGGUCUGAGCCUGUUCCCAACCUCGUCCCUUCCCUCCUUACCCCUGGUGAGGGUGCCACCUGCUCACCUCCGGGGGGGGUGAGCAUUGUGAGAAGUGUGAGACACUCAAUGUGAGUGUGAGAAGAAGUGUGAGACACUGAGAAGUGUCUCGUCCAUGCCGGGGGAGCAGCACGUGCCUUGGUCACCCCGGCUCUUCUGAAUCCUGCUUGGGCCCCACUGCCUCCUCCUGAGUGCCACACUGCCCCUAGGGUGGCACCUGUGCAUUCCCCUGACACCCGGGGAGAGGGAGUUCAUUGGCGCCCACUUGACCAGGUAUCCCAAGCGGCCUCUGUCCAGUGCUGACUGGCCCCGCCCCCAGAGAAGAUGACAGCCGGCCCUGCGCCACUGACCUGGCUGCCCUGUGUGCCUCCUCUGGCUCACCUUGCUCCUCAGUGCGGGUGCCAGAGAGCUGGUGGGACACGGGGAGGGGUGCGUGGACCAGAGCCAUGAACAGGUUAGUCCAUCACUGGCUCCUUGAGACAGGGAGUCAACAGCCUCUAGUUUGUUGGUUCAGUUUGUUGGGCCCGAUUCAGGCUAAUUUUUGUUUGUGUGCUUUUAUGUACAUGAUUUCAUUGAUGCCCCACAAUCUGUCUUUUGUGUCAUAGUUUUUCCCAUCACGACCCUUUGUUCUUAGCCUUUGCCUGAGAGGCAGCCUUCAUUAAGGGAUUCUCCCUGCAGAGCUUAAUCUAGAUGUCUUCUUAAAAAUUGUUACUUUAAAUUGCCAUGAAAGUAGCAUGUCUAUCUUAGCAAUAUUGAACAUCCCUGAGAAGUUUCUGAAAGAAGAAAUGCCCGUGGCCGUAAGCACUCAGCAGUGGCUGCUCUUGACGUUUGCUGAGUAUUUCUUGUUAUGCUCACGCUGCUUCUAGAAAACUACAUACUGCCCUCUUCAUUUAUAUUUUCGUUUCGUAAAUGUAUUAUGAUGCAUGUAUUUCAUGUGGGAUAAUCCCUUUGACAUUAAGGUAGUUUCUGGCAUUGUAAACUCAUAAAUAAAAAUGUGAUGCUCUCAAAAAGAACAUGUCCCUGUUAGGCAUAAACUUAACCAAAGAGAUAAAAGACUUAUAACACUGAAAACUAUAAAAUUCUGCUCAAAGAAAUUAAAGAAGUUAUCAAUAAAUGGAACAGUAUGCUCAUGGAGUCAAAGACUUAAACUGUUAAGAAAUUCCCAAGGCCAUCUGUAGAUUCAGUGCAAUCCCUGUCAAAAUCCUAAUGAAAUUGUUUUCCCUUCUGCUUCGCCCGCUGCUCCCCUCAGCAGUAUCUUCGGUCCAUCUGCCUGUUCUGCUCCCCACUCUGUCUCUGGUGAAUCCUCUCACCCUCCCGCGCCUCUAACCUGUACCCUGGCUCUUGUAUAAAUAAAUCUUUAAAAAAAAAAAAAAGAAAUUGUUUUCCAGAAAAAGAGAAAUCCAUUCUAAAAUUCACAUGGACUGUGAAAGGACCCUUGAUAGCCAAAGCGAUCUUGAAGAAGACAACCAAAAUCAGAAAUCGUGGAUUUCCUGGUUUUAAAUUGACUGCAAAGCUGCAGUACUCAAAACACCAUGGUACUGGUAUACAAGCCAACAGAUUAUGGAGAAGAAUUUCUGUAACUCAAGACCCACGUGCAUGAGCGCCAGAGGACAGCUUCACACUAGAUCUGUAGGGAUUUCCUGGAGAUGACACCAGCUCAGGCAGCAAAAGUCAGUUGAUCUCAUCAGAACUUAAAAAUAUCUCUGCAUCAAGGACAAAAUCAGCAGAGGAAAAAGACAGCCCAGAGAAUGGGAAACAAAUCUGCAACUCAUAUCUGACAAGGAUUCACAUGCAGAACAUGGAAGGAGCUCCUCCAACAUAACAAGUAAACAAGCACCCCAAUUUAAAAAGGAGUGAAGGAACGGAGUAGAUAUUGCUUCAAUGACAAUAUACCAGUGGUCAGUAAGCCCAUGCAAACAUGUUCAUGUCACCAGUCAUGGGAAAAUGCAAAUGGAAACCACAGCAAGAGACCACCUCACCCUGUUAGGACAUUGGUUAUCCAGCAACCAGAGGGCACCAAGUUGGCAAGGAUGUGGAAAAUCUUGGACACCUCAUGCCCCAUGGGAAUGUGAUGAUGCAACCACUGUAGAAAACAGCAUGGCAGUUCCUCAGAAAAUUAAAAAUAGAAUCCCCACGUUGUUCCGCAAUUCCACUUCUGGGCAUAUUCUCAGAAGACCUGAAAGCAGGGACUCAGAUACUGCGCACCUUCCCCCCCGGCAAGUUCAGCAUGGCUUUACUCACCACAGCCAGAAGGCAGAAGUUCCCCAAGUGCCCAUCAACAGAGUGGACAAAGCAACAUGGUCUGUACUGGGUGGAAUAUUACUCAGCCUUGAAAAGGACAGAAAUCCUGACACAGGCUGCAACAUAACUGAACAUGAAGGACACUGUGCUGAGUGAAAUAAGCCAAUCACAAAAAGUCUAAUACCACUGAUUACAAUUCUGUGAGGUCCCUAAAGCUGUCACAUUCAAGGAGAAAGAAAGUAGACGGGCUAGGGGAGGCGAGGGUAGAGGAGGGGGUGUCUAACGGAACAGUGUCAGCUUUGCAAGAUGAAAGGGGCUCCGGCGCCGAUGUUGGGGUAGCUUUCCCAGUAGUGUGGAUGAGCUUGAUGCCACUGAGCUGAGCCCUAAAAAUGGCCAACAUGGUCAAUUUUAUAUUAUGUAUAUUUUAGCUCACUUUAAAAAAAUAAAUAUUUUUAAUGCGAUGCUCACUCGCAGCUGCUACAUUUUUAGAAUGGGUUCCCGGAAGCACGAUUACUUAAGCAAAGAAUCGACACAUAUUGCCAGGUUCUUUUCCGAAAGGCUCGCAUGGUUGGUAGGUUGGCUAGCAAAGCUCCACGUCUUCUCCAAUAUUGAGCAGUUGCCAUUUUUUUUAAAUGAUUGUGGAAUUGACCGGAGAAAAAAGACCUUUCCAUGCAGUUACUGAUCAGUUACAAUUGUCUUGUGAACUGAACCAUGUAAAUAGUAGCUCUUGUUUUUUCCUAAUCAGUUAUGAUAUCAACUUAUACUUGUGGCAUUUGUACUUGCUUUGCUUUUCUGGAAGGAAAAUACAGAAAUUUGUAAAUCUUUAAACGUGUGCAGUAUCCCUCAGAGGUUCAUUCAGUAUUUUUAAAUAUCCUUUUUUAGCUUGAAAAUUUAUAUUCCCUUUCCUUUUCUUCUAACACUCUGGCAGGGGGAGGCUCCUUGGAUUUUUCUAUUUAACUAACCAUCUCAGCCAGCUUUUAUUUUGGUCUCAGGUGAAGACUAAAACUGAUUUUUCCCCACAUACACCCAGUCACGUACACCCAGCUAGCAAAUCUUCCACCCCUUUCCACUGGUUCAAGACGGUUCUUCACCGCGACCCUCACCUGUUAGAAGUGUGUGUUGGCUUGGGGCUGCACUUGGCGCCGUCGGCCUCCUGAGCUGUCAGUGGCCUAAACUCACAAGCUCUGUCGUCCGCAGGAGGAGCCCUUCUUGUUAGAAGUUUUCUUCUUACCUUUCUUUCUUCCAGGUGAACUGAGAAUCAUUUUGUCAAGUGCCCAGAAAAAUAGGGAGGCUCGUCUGCAUUUUGACUAGAAUUGUUUUAGAUCUAUAAACCAACUUGGGGGGAAAUUAACAUCUGUUUAUUUCUAGUACUUAUGCUUCCAGUUGAGAA